ACGGUGUUGACGCAAUGUGAUUUCUGCCCAGUGCUCUGAAUGUCAAAGUGAAGAAAUUCAAUGAAGCGCGGGUAAACGGCGGAAGUAACUAUGACUUUCUUAAGGUAGCCAAACGCCUCGUCAUCUAAUUAGUGACGCGCAUGAAUGGAUUAACGAGAUUCCCACUGUCCCUAUCUACUAUCUAGCGAAACCACAGCCAAGGGAACGGGCUUGGCGAAUUCAUCGGGGAAAGAAGACCCUUUCGAGCUUGACUGUAGUCUGACUCUGUGGCGAGGCAUUAUUGGCGUAGUCUAGGUGGGAGUCUUUUCGAGGCGAGUCUGUGAAAUACCACUACUUUGAUCGCCUUGUUACUGAUUCGGUGAUGCUCUGUGGUCCUUCCUUCGGGAUGCGACGUGUUAUGUGAACUUAACCCGCGCUUCGUCGAAAGCGUCGGGGAAGAGCUCCGAAGACAGUGUCAGGCAGGCAGUUUGUCUGGGGCGGAACAUCUGUCAAAAGGCAACGCAGGUGUCCCAAGGCCGGCUCGGCCGGGACGGAAACCUGGCUUAGAGCAAAGGGGCAAAAGCCGGCUCGAUCUCGUUCUUCAGUAAGGAAGGGGACCUCGAAAGAGGGGCCCAUCGAUCCUUUCGAUGCGUGAGAGUCUCACGCGAGAGGUGUCAGAAAAGUUACCGGAGGGAUAACUGGCUUGUGGCGGCCAAGCGUUCAUAGCGACGUCGCUUAUUGAUUCUUCGAUGUCGGCUCUUCCUAUCAUUGCGAAGCAGAAUUCGCAAAGCGUUGGAUUGUUCACCCACUAACAGGUAACGUGAGCUGGGUUUAGACCGUCGUGAGACAGGUUAGUUUUACCCUCAUGAAGACGGGUCGUCGCGACGGUAAAAUCUGCCCAGUACGAGAGGAACCGUAGGUUCGGACAUUUGGUACUGCGCUCGGUGGUGCCGCCGGUGGCGCGAAGCUACCAUCCGCUCGGAUAACGGCUGAACGCCUCUAAGUCGGAAGCCGUCCCGAGAACGGUGAGGAUAUCAUUGUGUGCCCCUCGCGUCGAACGGCAGCUCUAGCCCCUCGAUGUUCCCCCUCGGCCCGCCGUCGGGGAGCGCGAGCGGGCGAAAGUGGCCCCUUCGCACGCCCGAGACCUCCGGGACCCUCCGUAGACUCCGAGGGUCCUGCUCCUGCGAGCCUGCCUCCGGGCAGACGAGUGAUGUGAGUGGGCGUAGAGUCGUCUGCAGACGACGUUCUUGCUGGACGGGGUGUCGUAAGUAGCAGAGCACCCACCAUAGUGCGAUCUACUGAGACUCAUCCCU